GGCUGUGACGCGCGGCGGAGCGGGGCGGGCCGAGGCGGCGGAGGCCGGAAGCGGGAAGCGGGCUGGCGGGCGGCGAUGGAGGUGCCCUCGGUGCCGGCCGCCUCGACGUCGGGCGCGGCGGGGCGCGGGCCCAUCAAGGGCAUCCUGAAGAAGGGCGGCGGCAAGCUAUCGGCGGGCGGAGCGGCCCCCGGGGCGCGGCGGGUCAGUCCGGCCCGCGAUGAGGACGAGCACGGUAAAAAAUCCCAGAAGUGGGAUGAAAUGAACAUCAUAGCUACAUACCACCCAGCAGGCAAAGAUUAUGGCUUGAUGAAAAUAGAUGAGCCAAGUACUCCUUAUCACAGCAUGGUAGGAGAAGAUGAUGAGGAUGCAGUGAGCGAUUCGGAAUCAAAUGAGCCCUUAAAAGCAGAUGUGUUGAGUAAAAAACUGGCAGCUGCAGCUGAAGGUAAAGGACCUAAGAUUAUAGCAAAGCAGGAGGAAAGCAGUGAGGAGGAGGAAGAGGAUGAAGAAUUAACACCCGAAGAACGAGAGAAGAAGAAACAGUUCGAAAUGAAGAGAAAAAUGCACUACAAUGAAGGACGAAACAUCAAACUGGCAAGACAGCUCAUUGCAAAGGAACUACAUGGUGAAGAAGAGGAUGAUGAUGAGGAUGAAGAAAUGCAUGAUGCUGCAGAUGUAGAAACAAUGAAUACAGAAGCUACCGAACAUGGGGAAAGGAGGGCUCCAAUAGGCAACCUUAUGACCUUUCUUCAUGGCUUGAAGCUGCCAUCUCUCUGCUCUCUGCUGUAAAACAGAGACAACUCCGCUCCCCAGCUGCAUUCGUCAGUGGAAAGAAGAACCUUUGCAGCAUUUUUCCAUCUCUAUUGUUGAAGUCCAUUCCACCUUGCCUCAUAACCAGCUUCAGAGCCACAACUGACUGAGAUUUCUUGCUGAUUGAAAUGAAGAUGGCCAGUCCAGUCAGUGAUGCACAUGCUACUCCUGACCAGCUGGAAAGUAGAGCACACAGCAUAGAAGAAAUCUGUCCAGAACUGUAACUGCUUGUCAAAGACACAAAUAUAAACAUCGCUUCAUGAUUUUUGCAAUUAAGGCUCUUAAAUAUUGAGAAGCAUAUCAGUUACAAUGUUGUAUUGCCAAGAAUGUUAAUUUUAGACUUGUCCAUUAGGCAGAAAAAACUGUCUAAUUGAUUUAUUCUUGUGCCUAGUAUUUCAUGGAGAAUACUGCUUCAUAAUCUGUUCAACCAGAAUGGCAUUCGCUGUAUGUAUAACGCUGAUUAUCUUGCGUAAUGUACUGUUACUCUUCAUGCUUCGAAGCAGACAGUAUCUUUUGGUUUUUCACUAUUUAUUUGACAGUGUUCUAGGUGUGUUAUCUCUUACAGAAAGGUUUGGGAUUCAAGAGCCAAACGGUACAGCAUAUAUCAGAUUGACAUGCAAGCUAUUUAUCAGAUGUGUUAAGCAGUUUAAAAAGGGAUUAUUUAAGUCUUAGAACUUCUUUGUAAAAUGUUGACCUGUUAAUCUAGAUUUCAGGAUGUUAUUAUACCUGUACUUUCCCAGUCUUUAGAAGAGCUGUAUUAUUUUUUAAGAGUGGUAUUUGGAAUCAGUUGUUAGUUUCAGAGGCAGUACUAACUCUGGUGGAGGUAAUGGUUUUACACUGGAAAUGUGCUAACUUGAACUUUGCAUUUAACUGUCAUUAUCUCUUCCAUUGGGACUGGAUGUUUUGAGAGGGUCUCUCUGGCUUAUCACAAGAACAUAGAAGUUCCCUCCAACUUUUCCCUUAAAACCACAUCCGCUGUCACUCUUCUGGCUCUUGUUUCAAACUUCUGUCCUUUCUGGUUGGCGUGAAGAGUGCCUGUGCUACUAGCACCUGAGAAAAAACACCCACCCAUGAGAAAAUCCACAUCAGGACUGUGAAGAUGAGCUGAGUUUAGGUGCUGGUUGUUAUAAAUAACUGCUGAUGGUCUCGUACUCAUUUGGGGUUGGUCACCUGCAUACUGAAAACCACUGGUCUAAAUCUUCCUGUACCCAUUGCAACUUAGAGCAGCUGCUUUUGUAAAAUGAAGGCUGUUUGGAAGAAUAGAAGGGAAACUGCCUAAUUCAAAUGCUUGUUUACAGUGUGGUUGUAUAGCUCCUGUAAAGAGGGAUUCUGAACUUCCAAAUUGCUGUGAACAGCUUCCCACUUGAUGGAACUUGACUGGUGAAUGUUCCAGUAUUCAGAGUAGUUCCUGGGGUUUAUUACACAAAUGAAGUAUACACUUAAGCUUUAGCUUGGUUAUGGGAUACAGUGUAUAGCUUUUAAUUUUGAUCUGAAUUUGAUAUGUUGCAAAAAUCCAUAUAAUUAUAUGGAUCUAUUUUAAAAUGUCUUUUUGUCCACUGUACAUGUGAAGUUUGAAUAAAGAAAUGAAAGUUAUUUUACAGUUACAUGCAUUCUCAAGUGUGAGCUUUCAUGAAAUCCCAGAGAUUGAGAGUGAAUAAGGCAAUAGGGUGCUGUCCUUUGAAAGAUUUAUACAGGAAUAAUUCAUUAGAAUGGAUGCUUUGCCAAAGAUACCUACAAGUUGUGCUAACUGGGUGUUGCAGUGUGCCUUUCCCAACUAUCUCCUCUCCUUAGUAGGUAACAGAGUUGUCAGUUGUGGGAUAUUUAGUCUUCUAAGGGCCUGAAUCAGGAUUAAUAGUGUCUUUUCACAAGAAAGAGAUGAAGUUUUGAUUCAGUCCAGUGUAGUGAUGCUAAUUUUUCAAUAUGGAGAAUGCUGUUCUAUUUCUUCUUGUAUCAGACAUGGUCACUUCUAUAGAAUAAACAAGGGGCAAAGAGAAAGCGUUUAGAUACUUGACUACUAAAGUCACUUGCUGUAGCUUUAAAUUUGGCUCCCAAGUGUAGGAUUUCAAAACUUAAAGUUUACACCCUUUACAUACCAGUUUGCAGUGUUCAGACUGUUGGAAUGUCCACACUGACCUGUGUUUCAAACCAAGUGGCUGACGGUCCGUCUGCCCCAGCCAGGGCAGCGAGACCCUGCUGAGAGAGGGGCAGCAGUCGGCAACGCUACAUGAUGUUCAGGCUGGAGCAUGAACGGGUCAAGAUUUGACCUGUGGGUAUGGGUAAUGCAGGUGCCUCCUGUGAUGCCGUAAAACAGAUUACUUGUACUUUGUGAUAAGUACAAGUGGGUACUUUGUACCCACAAUUAAGGCAGAAUCCAUCAGAAGCAGCUCUUACAUGAGCUGAUGUCCUGCCCUCCUUCCCCCCACGUUUUCUGUGUCCAAGACCUUGUUUUCAUUUUGGUGCUCAGUGGGGGUACUUUGUACCAUAGAAUGCCUGCAUUUUGUUUAAUAAACAAAAAAAAAAGCCCACUUUGCUAACUUCCAGUAAAGACUUUCCCUGCUAUGGCUUCCAAAAUCCAGUUUACAGUAUACAUAACUGCAUGAAGAUGGUUUUAAAUAAACCUCAGAAUAUAUAGUAGGUCCCUUCAUCAGAGAGAUGGUUUUGAGCUCUCCCUUUUCCAUGUCACCAAGCCCCCAAGUUGUAGUUAGAUGCCAUUUUGGAACUUGUACUGGUUUCGGUUAUGGGUUUUAUGAAAGGCUUUGUUCUCCUCUUCAUUCUCUCCAGUGCUAGCAAAAAUUCUGUUCAUGUUUCUUCAUCUCACUUGGAGUGCAACCUGAUGUACCUGACACUGCUUUUAACUGAGAGGCUGGUUUACUUCAUUUUGUUCAGGCUUACACCUUCAUGCAUUUUAAAAGCUAAAAUACAAUGCAAGUUUACUUUUAGUAACCAGAGAUAGUCUAUAUAGAUUUUUUUUUUUUAAAAAAAGCAUGCCCGAUUUCCUUCUAUCGUGGAAAUAUCAAUUAUAGUUUCCUACUGAAUGGGGACAAGCGAAGAAAUGCCUUUUCUGUUUUUACAUUUGAUGGGUACUUAGCUUGCAUGCAGGUCUUAAUCUUGGGGUGCAUAUGGUAAAGGCUCAUUCGUACAGUAAAGAGUGGUGUAAAGAGGAAACAAGACACGCAGCCCUUACUAAUGUAGACACUGAGCUCCACAGCAUAAUAAUUGUGAGGCUUCUCACACAGGUUUAAGUCCUCAAGCUGCGUCCUGUUUAGAGAAAGUGUUUUUCAAUAUGCUUCCAAUAGGAAGAUCACUUGCAAAUAAGAGCCUUAACUCUGUCUUAAAGUUCGUUCGUUUUUUUUCCUUAAAGUUUCUUUCACACUGAGUUGUACACAGUUCAUGGAAACUGCAAAUAUUUUUUCCACAGCUCAUUCUCUCAUGUUGAACUUGUGUAUCUUACCAGAACUCUUUGUUUCUGUAAUAUGCUUUUUGUGGUGUUUAUGAUGAUACCACCUCACAAAUGUAAUUAUUCUGUUUGAAACCAGUGUUAAGUGUCACAACAUAAAUAAAAACAUUGUUUUCAUUACUGCCAUAUGGCACUGA